rnacentral:sRNA from 1 species
GAUGCCAGGGUCAAAAGGUCUAAGCCCACAUGAGCUUGCUCAUAAGUGGGUGAAAGACCUUUUGACCCGCCCCGAUAUGAGCAUAAAAGUGGGAUGAUAAUCCCACGAUAUGCGAAUAUUGGGUAGGAUUGUGGGAGUGCGUAGCACGGAACAAUCCGUAGACAUC